CGAACGCUGGCGGCGUGCUUAACACAUGCAAGUCGAACGCGAAAGGGACUUCGGUCCUGAGUAAAGUGGCGCACGGGUGAGUAACGCGUAGAUAACCUGUCUUCAUGUCUGGAAUAAUACGCCGAAAGGGGUACUAAUACCGGAUAUUCUUGCUUUUCAUAAGUUAUGCAAGCAAAGGUGGCCUCUGCAUAUGCUACUGCAUGAAGAGGGGUCUGCGUACCAUUAGCUAGUAGGUGGGGUAAUGGCCUACCUAGGCGACGAUGGUUAGCGGGUCUGAGAGGAUGAUCCGCCACACUGGCACUGGAACACGGGCCAGACUCCUACGGGAGGCAGCAGUGAGGAAUAUUGCGCAAUGGGGGAAACCCUGACGCAGCGACGCCGCGUGAGUGAAGGAAGGCCUUCGGGUCGUAAAGCUCUGUCAAGGGGAAAGAAGUGUACAAUGGCUAAUACCUGUUGUAUUUGACGGUACCUCUAAAGGAAGCACCGGCUAACUCCGUGCCAGCAGCUGC
rnacentral:rRNA from 1 species